rnacentral:rRNA from 1 species
GAAUUGACGGGGGCCCGCACAAGCGGUGGAGCAUGUGGUUUAAUUCGAUGCAACGCGAAGAACCUUACCUGGUCUUGACAUCCACGGAAGUUUUCAGAGAUGAGAAUGUGCCUUCGGGAACCGUGAGACAGGUGCUGCAUGGCUGUCGUCAGCUCGUGUUGUGAAAUGUUGGGUUAAGUCCCGCAACGAGCGCAACCCUUAUCCUUUGUUGCCAGCGGUCCGGCCGGGAACUCAAAGGAGACUGCCAGUGAUAAACUGGAGGAAGGUGGGGAUGACGUCAAGUCAUCAUGGCCCUUACGACCAGGGCUACACACGUGCUACAAUGGCGCAUACAAAGAGAAGCGACCUCGCGAGAGCAAGCGGACCUCAUAAAGUGCGUCGUAGUCCGGAUUGGAGUCUGCAACUCGACUCCAUGAAGUCGGAAUCGCUAGUAAUCGUGGAUCAGAAUGCCACGG